rnacentral:rRNA from 1 species
AACGCGAAGAACCUUACCUGGGCUUGACAUGCAUCGUGUCGCCGGUGAAAGCCGGCCAGUGUAGCAAUACACGCUUUGCACAGGUGCUGCAUGGCUGUCGUCAGCUCGUGUCGUGAGAUGUUGGGUUAAGUCCCGCAACGAGCGCAACCCUUAUCCCUAGUUGCCAUCGGGUCAAGCCGGGCACUCUAGUGAAACUGCCUCGGAUAACGAGGAGGAAGGUGGGGAUGACGUCAAGUCCUCAUGGCCUUUAUGUCCAGGGCUACACACGUGCUACAAUGGUCGGUACAAACCGUCGCAAACCCGCGAGGGGGAGCUAAUCGGAAAAAGCCGGCCUCAGUUCGGAUUGGAGUCUGCAACUCGACUCCAUGAAGCUGGAAUCGCUAGUAAUCGCGGAUCAGAACGCCGCGGUGAAUACGUUCCCGGGCCUUGUACACACCGAGUAUA